AAGCGGGAAUUAUCCUAUAAGACGAGAAGACCCCAUGAAGCUUCAAAUAAGUAUCAACUGUUAACCUUACACCACCAGAUACCCAAUAGCCAUGACUACUAAUUUUUGGUUGGGGCGACCGCGGAGCAAAACAAAACCUCCACAAUGAAAAGACCUAAUCCAUUAUUCAAGAACAACUGUUCUAACAACCAACACAUUGACAUAAUUGACCCAAACCCCCCUUGAUCAAUGAACCAAGUUACUCUGGGGAUAACAGCGCUAUCUAUUUCAAGAGUACAUAUCGACAAAUGGGUUUACGACCUCGAUGUUGGAUCGGGGUAUCCCAGUGGUGCAGCCGCUACUAAAGGUUCGUUUGUUCAACGAUUAAAACCCCACGUGAUCUGAGUU
rnacentral:rRNA from 1 species